ACGCUCGACACCUACGGGAGGCAGCAGUAGGGAAUCUUCCACAAUGGGCGCAAGCCUGAUGGAGCAACACCGCGUGAGUGAAGAAGGGUUUCGGCUCGUAAAGCUCUGUUGUUGGAGAAGAACGUGCGUGAGAGUAACUGUUCACGCAGUGACGGUAUCCAACCAGAAAGUCACGGCUAACUACGUGCGAGCAGCCGGGUAAUCUGAGCGGGCGUCGGCGAACGGACG
rnacentral:rRNA from 1 species